GUGCUCGCUUCGGCAGCACAUAAACUAAAAUUGGAACGAUACAGAGAAGAUUAUCAUGGCCCCUGCACAAGGAUGACACACAAAUUCAUGAAGUGUUCCAUAUUUAA
rnacentral:snRNA from 1 species